rnacentral:rRNA from 1 species
UGGGGAAUAUUGGACAAUGGGCGCAAGCCUGAUCCAGCCAUGCCGCGUGAGUGAUGAAGGCCUUAGGGUUGUAAAGCUCUUUCACCCGGGACGAUAAUGACGGUACCGGGAGAAGAAGCCCCGGCUAACUUCGUGCCAGCAGCCGCGGUAAUACGAAGGGGGCUAGCGUUGUUCGGAAUCACUGGGCGUAAAGCGCACGUAGGCGGACCGUUAAGUCGGAGGUGAAAUCCUGGGGCUCAACCCCAGAACUGCCUUCGAUACUGGCGGUCUCGAGUCCGGAAGAGGUGAGUGGAACUGCCAGUGUAGAGGUGAAAUUCGUAGAUAUUGGCAAGAACACCAGUGGCGAAGGCGGCUCACUGGUCCGGUACUGACGCUGAGGUGCGAAAGCGUGGGGAGCAAACA